ACGAACGCUGGCGGCGUGCCUAAUACAUGCAAGUAGAACGCUGAAGGAGGAGCUUGCUUCUCCGGAUGAGUUGCGAACGGGUGAGUAACGCGUAGGUAACCUGCCUGGUAGCGGGGGAUAACUAUUGGAAACGAUAGCUAAUACCGCAUAACAGUAGAUGUUGCAUGACAUUUGCUUAAAAGGUGCAAUUGCAUCACUACCAGAUGGACCUGCGUUGUAUUAGCUAGUUGGUGAGGUAACGGCUCACCAAGGCGACGAUACAUAGCCGACCUGAGAGGGUGAUCGGCCACACUGGGACUGAGACACGGCCCAGACUCCUACGGGAGGCAGCAGUAGGGAAUCUUCGGCAAUAGACGGAAGUCUGACCGAGCAACGCCGCGUGAGUGAAGAAGGUUUUCGGAUCGUAAAGCUCUGUUGUAAGAGAAGAACGAGUGUGAGAGUGGAAAGUUCACACUGUGACGGUAUCUUACCAGAAAGGGACGGCUAACUACGUG
rnacentral:rRNA from 1 species